UAACACGUAAACAACCUGCCUUCAGGAUGGGGGNAANAGACGGAAACGACUGCUAAUACCGAAUAAGUUCCAAGGGCCGCAUGGCCCAUGGAAGAAAAGGUGGCCUCUACCUGUAAGCUAUCGCCUGAAGAGGGGUUUGCGUCUGAUUAGCUGGUUGGAGGGGUAACGGCCCACCAAGGCGACGAUCAGUAGCCGGUCUGAGAGGAUGAACGGCCACACUGGAACUGAGACACGGUCCAGACUCCUACGGGAGGCAGCAGUGGGGAAUCUUCCGCAAUGGGCGAAAGCCUGACGGAGCAACGCCGCGUGAGUGAUGACGGCCUUCGGGUUGUAAAACUCUGUGAUCCGGGACGAAAAGGCAGAGUGCGAAGAACAAACUGCAUUGACGGUACCGGAAAAGCAAGCCACGGCUAACUACGUGCCAGCAGCCGCGGUAAUACGUAGGUGGCAAGCGUUGUCCGGAAUUAUUGGGCGUAAAGCGCGCGCAGGCGGCUUCCCAAGUCCCUCUUAAAAGUGCGGGGCUUAACCCCGUGAUGGGAAGGAAACUGGGAAGCUGGAGUAUCGGAGAGGAAAGUGGAAUUCCUAGUGUAGCGGUGAAAUGCGUAGAGAUUAGGAAGAACACCGGUGGCGAAGGCGACUUUCUGGACGAAAACUGACGCUGAGGCGCGAAAGCGUGGGGAGCAAACAGGAUUAGAUACCCUGGUAGUCCACGCCGUAAACGAUGG
rnacentral:rRNA from 1 species